GGACUUCACUUUUGUGUCCCUAUCCAAAUGGUUCACUAAGUUUAUUGUAAACUAUAUAGUGAACAAUAAUCACACGCUCUCCAAAUUGUUUGAUGUGUAUAACACAAUUGAAAUGAGUUUCAAGAGAGAUAGUGGGAGUUUAGAGACCAGGACUAUUGUAGUUAAAGGAGAAGUCAAAUGAAGAAGGCGAAAUAACUCCAAGGGAACAAACUUUCUUUAUGAAAGGAUGGACAUUGGAAGGGGUAUUUGCAAGAAAUGUCUUGCAAGUGUCAAGAACACACCUUUCGAAGGUGUUGUAAAUUGUUCUUGAAUAGUUCAAAACAGUUGGUUCUUCUACUUGAAUGCUUGAUUCCGUAUUAGUAACUAUGUUUUACAAUCGUUGUAAAAGUGUGGCUAAUAAUAAGUAGAUGAUUAAUGAGAGAUGAGAAAGUACUUCACAUUCGAAAUGUGAAUCAAAUAUAGAUCUCUGCGAAAACAGGUAGUACUUACUUCCUCAUAUGAACUACCAAAGAAAAUGGAAAAACAAAGAUUGUCUUUACAUUCCAAUUGAAUAAAGGAACUUAAUUCCGUAUGAGAAAUGGAUAAAUGUUUUGCUUGACAAAACAUUGUUCUUUAUUAAUGAAUGAUUAGAUUAUUGUAAUCUAAUUGAUUAUCUCUAU
rnacentral:lncRNA from 1 species